AUUGAGCGCUGGCGGCAUGCUUUACACAUGCAAGUCGAACGGCAGCGCGGGCUUCGGCCUGGCGGCGCGUGGCGCACGGGUGAGUAAUGCAUCGGAACGUGCCCAGUAGUGGGGGAUAGCCCGGCGAAAGCCGGAUUAAUACCGCAUACGCCCUGAGGGUGAAAGCGGGGGACCGCAAGGCCUCGCGCUAUUGGAGCGGCCGAUGGCGGAUUAGCUAGUUGGUGGGGUAAAGGCUUACCAAGGCGACGAUCCGUAGCUGGUCUGAGAGGACGACCAGCCACACUGGGACUGAGACACGGCCCAGACUCCUACGGGAGGCAGCAGUGGGGAAUUUUGGACAAUGGGGGCAACCCUGAUCCAGCCAUGCCGCGUGCGGGAAGAAGGCCUUCGGGUUGUAAACCGCUUUUGUUCGGGAAGAAAUCCUCUGGGCUAAUACCCCGGGGGGAUGACGGUACCGGAAGAAUAAGCACCGGCUAACUACGUG
rnacentral:rRNA from 1 species